rnacentral:tRNA from 1 species
UGCAAAUCGGUGUAAGAGCACGGUGUUUUUUGGUUGCACAAGAUUGUUUAGAUGUUUUUGCAA